rnacentral:rRNA from 1 species
AUAUUAAUAAGGGGAGGAAAAGAAACUAACUAGGAUUCCCUCAGUAAUGGCGAAUGAAGUGGGAAAAGCUCAGGUUUAAAAUCUGGUGGCAUUACGCCGCCCGAAUUGUAGUCUUUUGGACGGUCAUAGGAGCGGACACUGGUGCAAGUCCGUUGGAAUGCGGCGCCUUAGAGGGUGAGAGCCCCGUAGUUAGCCGGCUGAUUCGCUCCGUAAUUUUUGAUCGUUCGUAGAGUCGGGUUGUUUGGGAAUGCAGCCUUAACUGCGAGGUAAAUUCCUUGCAAAGCUAAAUACUGGCAUGAGACCGAUAGCGAACAAGUAGAGUGAUCGAAAGAUGAAAAGAACUUUGAAAAGAGGGUUAAAAGUACGUGAAAUCGCUAAAAGGGAAGCGAUUGGGUUCAGUAUGGGUGUGCGUCCGAAUCGGAUUUCGUGUAGGUAUAAGGGGCUCUGCAGAGGGUUGGUUUACACCGAUUCAUGCAAGUGGUUCAUGAAGCUUACGUCGAGGUCCUACUUUUGGCGUGCACUAGUCAGCAUCGGUUCGCUUGCGUUGGCGACAGAAAAGCUGGGGCAUGGAAGGCCGACUGUGGUUGGCUGAAUACCCUGGUCGAUGG